rnacentral:rRNA from 1 species
UCGAUGAGGUGGAAACGGACAGAGCUGGCGUAUCUGGCUUGCAUUCAGCCGCUGCGCGUCGGGCCCCGGUUUGCCGCACUCCAGAUUGGGAAGGUGGCUGGGCUGCUGGCGUGCUGGUGGUGCAUUUGCAGGUGGAGUGCGCCGAGGCGCCCGGUUCAGCGGCAUGAGCUCGGCUUUGAGGCCAGUCGCGCAAGCGGUCUGGUACCCGGGUCGGGGGAGUGUUGUUUGGGCUGGGUGUUCGCUUGGGCACAGGUUUCGGGCCCGGGUGGGUGCCGAGCUGGCGGUCGGCGGCGGUCGCGUGCGACACGUGCCAGCAGUCAGUUCGGUCCUGUUCGAGCUCUCUCGUGUCCGGCCUCGGUGUAAAAGCCGGUCAUCUGUCCGACCCGUCUUGAAACACGGACCAAGGAGUUUAGCGUGUGCGCGAGUCAUUGGGUGUUGAAAACCCAGAGGCGUAAUGAAAGUGAAGGUCUGCCUUGUGCAGCUGAUGUGUGAUCCUGGGCGCCGCGGCGCCCGGGCGCAACAUAGUCCCGUCCCGACUGCAUGCAGUGGGGCGGAGACAGAGCGUACGCGCUGAG